GGGGAAUAUUGGACAAUGGGCGCAAGCCUGAUCCAGCCAUGCCGCGUGAGUGAUGAAGGCCUUAGGGUUGUAAAGCUCUUUCACCGGAGAAGAUAAUGACGGUAUCCGGAGAAGAAGCCCCGGCUAACUUCGUGCCAGCAGCCGCGGUAAUACGAAGGGGGCUAGCGUUGUUCGGAAUUACUGGGCGUAAAGCGCACGUAGGCGGGCAUUUAAGUCAGGGGUGAAAUCCCAGAGCUCAACUCUGGAACUGCCUUUGAUACUGGGUGUCUUGAGUAUGGAAGAGGUGAGUGGAAUUCCGAGUGUAGAGGUGAAAUUCGUAGAUAUUCGGAGGAACACCAGUGGCGAAGGCGGCUCACUGGUCCAUUACUGACGCUGAGGUGCGAAAGCGUGGGGAGCAAAC
rnacentral:rRNA from 1 species